rnacentral:rRNA from 1 species
UACGUAGGGUGCGAGCGUUAAUCGGAAUUGCUGGGCGUAAAGCGUACGCAGGCGGCGCAGUAAGACAGAUGUGAAAUCCCCGGGCUUAACCUGGGAACUGCAUUUGUGACUGCUGUGCUCGAGUCUGUCAGAGGGGGGUGGAAUUCCACGUGUAGCAGUGAAAUGCGUAGAUAUGUGGAGGAACACCGAUGGCGAAGGCAGCCCCCUGGGAUGAGACUGACGCUCAUGUACGAAAGCGUGGGGAG